rnacentral:rRNA from 1 species
GAGACAGCAGCAGCCGCGGUAAUACGGAGGGUGCGAGCGUUGUCCGGAUUUAUUGGGUUUAAAGGGUGCGUAGGUGGCUUUAUAAGUCAGUGGUGAAAUACGGUUGCUCAACAAUCGAGGUGCCAUUGAUACUGUAGAGCUUGAAAUAAUUGGAGGCUGCCGGAAUGGAUGGUGUAGCGGUGAAAUGCAUAGAUAUCAUCCAGAACACCGAUUGCGAAGGCAGGUGGCUACGAUUUGUUUGACACUGAGGCACGAAAGCGUGGGGAGCAAACAGGAUUAGAUACCCCAGUAGUCCCUGUCUCUUAUAC